GUUCGGAGUCAACAGAUACCAAUUUAUUUUUUAGAUGUUCUCUUUCAAGGAAUUUGUGGACAACUAUAGAAUUACAACUGAAUUUAAGAGGUAAACUUUCUUGGUUCCUUGAUACAAGGGCUGCUUGGAGAAGAAAAAAUAAGAACAAACUUGAGAGCAAGGCAGGUGAUCAAUUAUUAACUGUGGUAUGUUGGGAAGUUUGGAGAGAAAGGAAUAGUCGGGUAUUUCUAAGAAAGAAAGGCUCUAUCUUCUACAUUCUUUAGACUUUUCAUAGU
rnacentral:lncRNA from 1 species